CCGCUGAUGCCCCGUCUCCCCAAAUCACGGAACAAUAUCGUCACGCAGAGGGCGGAGACCUCGCGCGCAUUAUGUUCCUCCCGAUCCCAUCACGCUCUUUCUCCUCCGCCGGCCCUAGGUAGGUGGCUGCUCUGCCCUCGACGGGUGUCUCAGCGUCGCUAUAUCUCUGAUGGUCGCUCCGCCCUCAAUGGGGUGUCCCAGCAUCGAUCUCCCUCAGAUCUCGCCACCAUCUCGGCCGGCGUCGUUACCUGCCUCCUCCAUCAGCGCUCGAGCGAAGCCGCCAUCAUAUCACGUGUUGCUGCGCAUGAGAGCGGAGCGGACGCAGAACUGGGUCAAGUAGAUUGAUUUUGAGCGGCGCACAGAGCCGAUGGUGGGGCGCUGGACUAGGCAGGCACCGCCGCCGCUCCUGCAUACCCGGGGGCGAGCGAGGAUGCAGGCAUGGCCGCCGCUCCCGGAGGGAGUGGAUCUGCUACCCUAUUUUCAGGUUUCAGUCACAUCACCUAUGCUAUAAUCCCACCCAUAUACAUGGCUGCCUGAAGGAGGUGUUCAAGAUGAAUGGGUACCGACAACAGCGGGCAGAUCAACUACGAGGAGCUCAAGGCUGUUCUGGAGCAGGUGGGUGCAAGGUAAUAUCCGACUCUUCAUGUUGAUCUGCCCGCUGCUCCCCUUCUCCUAGGUAACACCAUGGAAUCCCAUGUUUCUUUAAAUAUAUUUCUUGGAACUUCUUCUAAAAUUUUGGUCGCUCUUGGGAGUUCUUAUUCCAAUCAGAUCCACAGAAGGAGAUCUGGCUAACAUGCCGUGGAUUCAGGAUAGUGUGUGGGAUUUCCAGUAGAAGAGUAUCUUCAGAGAUGGCUCUUCUUGGCACCGCUAUCUCUGGUGUGAAUGUCCUUGCCAUGCCCAUUUUAGUGCCAGACACAAUACAGGAGAGUAAUGUUAUCAGGUCAUACUCUUGUGGAAGGAUCGGCGCAGCAGAGCUUCGAAGGAGAUCCAGGUGUUCUUCUCCAUCCUUCAACAAGCGGAUUAUUCUUUGUGCCAAUGCAUAGCUUGAUUUCAUGUGAGAGGAUGGAUGUGUGAUGCACACGAUGCAACAUGUCCUAGAAUGAUGCCACGGACAGUGCCGCUGACAACGGCUAGGUGACAAGGAUGAGCCCCCUCGCACCAAAGCAGCUCGCAAGCUUGAUGGCGCCAAGGCAUCUCCCUACUGCUAUAAGAACGUCCACCAAUAAGCUACACAUGCUCCUACACCUUCUUAUGGCGUAGGUUCAAAUAUGUGAUUUCUUGCUUUUACUACAUCUUUGGUGCAACAUAUGAUGUGUACGUGCAGUUUAUAAUUUGCAUUGAGAUGAGCUAAUCAAAACUGACUACACUUUAACUAUCUUGAUUUUAAUUUCCUGCUUACCUAUCAUGUUCCAUCCUUAGUUUUCAGGGAACAGCAGGCUGCAUUUCGUAUGCGGCUUCAGUCUUGAAACAAAUUGAGGUUCAAAGAAGUAUUCACAUUGAGACCAAUCUCCAUUCCAUGCAGAUGUAUCUUCACCAGCAAUUAUAACUUCCCACUUUUGCUCAAGAGUUACAUGUGAGCCAAGCAAAUAUGGUGGCACAAUGCUUGACCUUCUAAUAUGUUAUGUACUAUUUCCAUUAGUGAACAUUGGUGCGUCUAAAAGACACAAUAUUCUACGAUGUUUGGAAACUCUUUAUUGGAUUUAAAUUUUCAAAUGUUACUCUUAUGUUUGGUAUGGGAUGUUCGCUUCUCAAAUAUAUUUUAAUCAUUUUCCUUUA